rnacentral:rRNA from 1 species
UAGGGAAUCUUCCGCAAUGGACGCAAGUCUGACGGAGCAACGCCGCGUGAGUGAAGAAGGAUUUCGGUUCGUAAAACUCUGUUGUUAGAGAAGAACAGCGCAUAGAGUAACUGUUAUGCGUGUGACGGUAUCUAACCAGAAAGCCACGGCUAACUACGUGCCAGCAGCCGCGGUAAUACGUAGGUGGCAAGCGUUGUCCGGAUUUAUUGGGCGUAAAGCGAGCGCAGGCGUUCAAUUAAGUCUGAUGUGAAAGCCCCCGGCUCAACCGGGGAGGGUCAUUGGAAACUGGUUGACUUGAGUGCAGAAGAGGAGAGUGGAAUUCCAUGUGUAGCGGUGAAAUGCGUCGAUAUAUGGAGGAACACCAGUGGCGAAGGCGACUCUCUGGUCUGUACCUGACGCUGAGGCUCGAAAGCGUGUGUCGCAAACAGG